GACGGAGGAUGCAAGCGUUAUCCGGAAUGAUUGGGCGUAAAGCGUCCGCAGGUGGCACCUCAAGUCUGCUGUCAAAGACCGGGGCUUAACCCCAGAAAGGCAGUGGAAACUGAAGUGCUAGAGUGCAGUAGGGGUAGAGGGAAUUCCCGGUGUAGCGGUGAAAUGCGUAGAGAUCGGGAAGAACAUCGGUGGCGAAAGCGACAUCCUGGACCGGUAUUGACGCUGAGGCGCGAAAGCCAGGGGAGCAAAGCGGG
rnacentral:rRNA from 1 species